CAUCAUAUAUAUACAUAUGUUGUCGUGUCUUAAUAAAUGGAGAUGAGCAGAAGUAGAGAUGAGAUAUCUAUCCGACUGUCAUCCUUCCAAGACUUGGGGCACCAUAACUCUAAUCCGACAUGAGCAGUGCAACCACGACAAUGAGCAGUGGAACUGCAAGAUAGAGAUAGAUACAAGUAGAAUAUAACUGGUCAUAUUUCUAAAAUGAUCACACUACUUAUGGUGCCGGAAGAGAAGGCAUCAGUGAUAGUGGGCUUGGUGAUGAGGGCAUCAAUACGAAGAGAUUAAUUCACAACUUUGUUCUUGAUAGGUUGUACAAAUAUACAAGUUUGUGGAACAUGCUUCAUUUUUGCAGGUAAAAGAAGGAAGAGCACAUUGGAGAAAAAGGCAGCAGGACGGAUUCUCUAAGCUUUCUCAAAUGUUUGAACAAUUAGAAGAUAGUUACAAUCAUUUUUCUCUUGCCUUAUUACAUCUUGAUGUUAAUAGGCUUUGGAAGGUACUAUGCGCCCCGUUCAAGGUUUACAGAAUUUGCACCAUCCUAUUACAGUUUGUUCUGAUGACAUAA